GCUGAUGAAAUUAAAUAACUUUCUUACGGAAAGCCAGUGGUUGAGAAAUUUAUUAAGCCUUAACAAAGCCAAGCGUAAAAUUCAAGCCAAUUUUGGGUUUUCAGCUUUUGGGCUUUAAGCUUAAUACCAAUAGAGGAGAAUUUUAAAACAGAAGCAGGAGCGAGAGACAGAGAGCUGGACAAUGUCACACUCGACGGUGCAGCCGAGCCGGUCGAGAGACCUGGACAAACUGCUUCUCAGGCCCGGCAAUCUCGUCGCCCCUACCUUCGAACCCGGUACCCAAUUGAGAGAUGAUCUUCAAGAGUACGUUCGAAUAUUGGUGGUGGGAGCCGGUGGAUUGGGCUGCGAGCUACUUAAGGACUUGGCCUUAUCUGGUUUUAAGAAUCUGGAGGUCAUCGACAUGGACCGCAUCGAAGUUUCUAAUCUCAAUCGCCAGUUCCUAUUCAGGCUUGAAGAUGUUGGUAAGCCAAAGGCUGAAGUUGCAGCCAAGCGUGUCAUGGAAAGAGUUAGUGGUGUGAAUAUUGUGCCACAUUUUUGCCGGAUUGAGGACAAAGAACUGGAUUUUUAUAAUGAUUUUAGUAUUAUUGUGCUUGGUCUUGAUUCCAUUGAGGCGCGGAGCUAUAUAAAUGCUGUAGCUUGUAGUUUUCUUGAGUAUGAUUCUGAUGACAACCCUCGGGAAGAAACAAUCAAGCCCAUGGUAGAUGGUGGUACUGAAGGUUUCAAAGGCCAUGCUAGAGUUAUUAUGCCAGGAGUCACACCAUGCUUUGAGUGUACCAUCUGGCUUUUCCCCCCUCAAGUCAAGUUUCCUUUGUGCACUCUUGCAGAAACCCCUAGAACUCCUCCUCAUUGUAUUGAAUAUGCUCACUUAAUUAAAUGGGACGAGGUUCAUAGUGGAAGGGAUUUUGAUCCAGAUGAUCCAGAACAUAUGACGUGGGUUUAUACAGAGGCUGUUAAGAGAGCUGAGCUUUUUGGCAUUCAAGGAGUUACGUAUUCACUUACUCAGGGUGUUGUGAAAAAUAUCAUACCUGCUAUUGCUUCCACUAAUGCAAUUAUAUCAGCUGCGUGUGCAUUGGAAACCUUAAAGAUUGCAUCAGGAUGCAGCAAAACUCUAUCCAACUACCUAACGUAUAAUGGCGUGGAAGGUCUCCACAUUAAAGUGACUGAAUUUGUGAAGGACAAGGACUGUCUUGUUUGUGGUCCAGGCGUUCUUAUCGAGCUAGACACUUCAGUUACAUUACAAAAGUUCAUUGAUAUGCUUGAAGAGCAUCCUAAGCUGUUCCUAUCAAAAGCAAGCGUCACACACCUAGGGAAGAAUUUGUACAUGCAAGCACCUCCAGUCCUAGAAGAGAUGACUCGAUCAAAUCUAAGUUUACCGUUAUUUGAACUUAUGGGUAAAGUCCCAAAAGAUGUUGUUCAUGUGACUGGUAUCACCAGCCAAAACGACAGUAAAAGGUCUUGUCUGAGAAAAUUACGAGUUGUUUUCAAGGCAAUUGAUGGGGUCACGGACAUGGACAUGGCUGGUGGGGCAUAAUUUUGCAUGCAGCACAGCACCAGGAUUUUUCUUGCAGUAACUUCUCGACUCCAGAAAGAUACUCCUUUAGAAAUUUUCUUUACUGAAGGCAGAAGUUGGUGAAUAAGCAACAUAAAAUCCAUUUUUAUGUGUAACAGUUUAUCAAAAUAUGUUUCAUCAAAGAUGCAGUUGUAGAUGUGACAUUAUUACCAAGAGAGCAACGUUAUUCACCAAGUUUUUUAAUUUUUA
rnacentral:misc_RNA from 1 species